CCUACGGGAGGCAGCAGUGAGGAAUAUUGGUCAAUGGGCGAGAGCCUGAACCAGCCAAGUCGCGUGAGGGAGUACUGCCCUAUGGGUUGUAAACCUCUUUUGUCGGGGAGCAAAAGCCGGACGUGUCCGGCUGUGAGAGUACCCGAAGAAAAAGCAUCGGCUAACUCCGUGCCAGCAGCCGCGGUAAUACGGAGGAUGCGGGCGUUAUCCGGAUUUAUUGGGUUUAAAGGGUGCGCAGGCGGAUUUUUAAGUCAGCGGUAAAAUCGUGGGGCUCAACCCCAUCCAGCCGUUGAAACUGGGGAUCUAGAGUGUGCGAGAGGUAUGCGGAAUGCGUGGUGUAGCGGUGAAAUGCAUAGAUAUCACGCAGAACCCCGAUUGCGAAGGCAGCAUACCGGUGCACAACUGACGCUCAGGCACGAAAGCGUGGGUAUCGAACAGGAUUAGAUACCCGAGUAGUC
rnacentral:rRNA from 1 species